CUGGGGUCCCCGGAUGAGAGACACAAAUAGGCAAAGUUCUGUGAGAGGCUUACACCCCUGAAGCGAAUUACGUGGUGAGCAAAGGAAUGAGUUGAAGAAAGGGCGAAUUAAGGGGUCAUCUCAAAGCCUGCGCUUUUAAGCCACUCUGAAAGGUGAGGGGAAGGAAGUCACGAACUGUAUUUCGCCAACCUCUGAUUACCUCGGAGCAGUGUUUACUUUUACAACUUCGGUUCCCACGGCUCAAACUCAAAAACACCCACCGAGGCAGCGAGGUGGAAUCAGACGUCAGGGAGUCUCUCUCUUUUUGGAACAAGCUUCGAUGCUCAAGCCAAAGAACCGAGAGGCGCAGGCGAAGAAACCUAUCGGCAACCCGGGCUAUGAAAGCUACCCGAGACGGUGAGAGAGCAGUGGGAAAGACAAACGAAUCGAUCUGGGGAACGAAGCGUGGCCAAGUGGAAAAGGCUCAGGCCUGAGAGGCAGGAGACUCGAGUUCUAAUCCCAGCUCUGCCUCUUGACCGCGCUGUGACCUUGGGUGAGUCACUUCACUUCUCUUCGUCUCGGUUUCUUCAUCUGCAAAAUGAGCACUGAAUAAUUUACCUCCCUCUUCCCUCCCCUAUAGUCUGUGAGCUCUGAGCGGGAAAAGGAGUGUGUCCGAAUGGAUUAUGGUGUACCUGCCCCAGCUUUUAGAACAGUGCUUAGCACAGAGGAAGCACUUAAAUUUUGGUUUUUUUAUGGUAUUUGUUAAGUGGUUAGCACGUGCCAGGCACCGUACUAAGUGUUGGGGUGGAUAAAACCUAAUCAGUUCGGACACAGCCCAGGCAUGUGUGGGGCUCACCGUCUUAAUCCCCAUUUUAGAGAUGAGGGAACUGAAGCCCAGAGAAGGGAAGUGACUCACCCAAGGUCACGGAGGAGGCAAGGGGCAGAGCCGGGACUAGAAUCCGGGUCCUUGUGACUCCCAUGCCCGGCUCUAUCCACCGGGCCAUGCUGCUUCUAUACCUCAAUAAUCAUAAUUUGGGCAGGAAAUAUCACAAAGAACCAACACCGGCUCCGGUUCUUUCGCUGCUUCACAGGCUCUGAUCGACCUGGAGAUCAAAUUCACUUUGGGGAAGGAAAUCAAUCAAUCGGUGGUAUUUAUUGAGCGCUUUCUGUGUGCAGAACAUUGCACUAAGCGCUUGGGAGACUGGGUAGACAUGUCCACUCUCUACAACAAGCUCCAC
rnacentral:lncRNA from 1 species